ACGUCGUGAGACAGUUCGGUCCCUAUCCGUCGUGGGCGUAGGAAAUUUGAGAGGAGCUGUCCUUAGUACGAGAGGACCGGGAUGGACAUACCUCUGGUGUACCAGUUGUCGUGCCAACGGCAUCGCUGGGUAGCUAUGUAUGGACGGGAUAAGUGCUGAAAGCAUCUAAGCAUGAAGCCCCCCUCAAGAUGAGAUUUCCCAACUUCGGUUAUAAGAUCCCUCAAAGAUGAUGAGGUGAAUAGGUUCGAGGUGGAAGCGUAGCGAUACGUGGAGCUGACGAAUACUAAUCGAUCGAAGACUUAAUCAAUUU
rnacentral:rRNA from 1 species